UACGUCGGUGGCAAGCGUUGUCCGGAAUUAUUGGGCGUAAAGCGCGCGCAGGCGGUUCCUUAAGUCUGGUGUGAAAGCCCCCGGCUCAACCGGGGAGGGUCAUUGGAAACUGGGGAACUUGAGUACUGAAGAGGAAAGCGGAAUUCCACGUGUAGCGGUGAAAUGCGUAGAGAUGUGGAGGAACACCAGUGGCGAAGGCGGCUUUCUGGUCAGUAACUGACGCUGAGGCGCGAAAGCGUGGGGAGCAAACAGG
rnacentral:rRNA from 1 species